GUUUGAUCCUGGCUCAGAGCGAACGUUAGCGGCAGGCUUAACACAUGCAAGUCGAGCGAGAAAGGGGCUUCGGCUCCGAGUAAAAGCGGCGGACGGGUGCGUAACACGUGGAUAAUCUGCCUCGUGGCGGGGGACAACAGUCCGAAAGGACUGCUAAUACCGCAUGUCAGGUCGGAAACUCCGGUUUCUGACGAAAAAGAGGGCGCCCGCAAGGGGCUCUCACCACGAGAUGAGUCCGCGUCCCAUCAGCUAGUUGGCGGUGUAAUAGACCACCAAGGCUUAGACGGGUAGCUGGUCUGAGAGGAUGACCAGCCACACUGGGACUGAGACACGGCCCAGACUCCUACGGGAGGCAGCAGUGGGGAAUAUUGGACAAUGGGCGAAAGCCUGAUCCAGCCAUGCCGCGUGAGUGAUGAAGGCCUC
rnacentral:rRNA from 1 species